AAUGAUUUCACAGUUUAUUUUUGAACCUUAAUGUAGUCUUGUCCCAUACAGAUAGUGUACUGCUCGACAAGAAUUAUAAUGAGUCUGAUAAGCGCCGAGAGCGCCAGCCAGGACGCGAUGCAAGCUCUCGCGAACGUCUCGGAACCUUUGGCUCACAGAGAUGGACUGAAAACUGGGCACUGGUCAAUCGCUCCAGGAUAUGCUGACUGCGACAUGAGAACGCGAUACACGAAGGCAGGGGAAACAGCUCUUUAAUAACACAGAAACAAGUUCGAGGCGGGAUGCGACUGUGUCAACGAUCUCACCGAGUUCGGGGAUGAGAAGAACUACUAGGACGCGAGAAAGAUGGACUAAAUACAUUGCAAAAUCACACCGACUUACUGAACUGUGAUAUCAAGAACGUGACCAAUAGUGUAAUCAGCGGGCCAUUUGUGUAAGCUCAUUUUCAACUUUAUGAGUUCUGUAAACCGCGUUGCAGUAGCAUUCUUUCGACAGGUUGUUUGCGUCGAAGCUAUUUCUUUAGAAGUUUGGUUAAACUUAUGAAACGGGUGUGAAAUCGGUUUGAAAAACACCUUUAACAAGGUAAAAUGUUGGCAACUAUUAGUUAUGGCUUCAUCCUCGAGAAUCUGUAUCUUUGUAUUAUGAUUCUUAUUUUUUUUUUAAAUUUACGAUAUUCUUAAAGAAAUUGUCAAAUGUUUGUAGCUUACAAAAGUUUUUCUAUAUAUUCUCAUAAAUAUAUACGUUAGUGA